CUCAGACGAACAUUCGUGUAAAAAAUGGAUUGAAAUGGACAAACAUAAAAUUUUGGGCUAUGGACUUAUUGAAGACAACUGUAUGGAUAUAAACAGAAACACAGAGGUGCUAUACAUUCUGAUGGAAAAGACAACAAAAGCAUCUCCCAUCAUUUUGGCGUGGCUCAGAUCAAGAGGAGAAAUUUAAAAAAGGUGAUGGUUGGGCACACACAAGAAGACAUAGAUCACAGGCGUAUAGCAUAUAAGUAGACAGGAGUUUCACACUCUGCCAGACUUACUUCCUCAGACGAGCAGAUUUAGGCUUCUCAAGAUCACGCACUGCACACUAAGACAUAGUCUUUGACUACAACAAGGCCUUAGGGGAUGAAAGUACAGAGAGGUCCAAUUGAAAUCAAUUCUGUGCUGCAUCAUUUCUUUAUUCUAGAGGUUGAUGGACAUGAUUUAUGGCAUCAAGUGUGCAGUUUGUCAACUAACUAUCAACACAGCAGUCUUGUUCACCAGCUGCUCAACUUGAGCUUUUAGCUUUAUUGCUUGAAGCCACUGUAUACCGGGGUAAGAGGAGGGAAGGUGCAGACUCAUCAAAAAGUCUCAAGGUUGAAACUAGGAAGAGAAGUUUGUCAAGAGUGUGAAUAUUUGCUUUGAAAACAAUUGUUACAAUGAUUUGUUUCCUUUGAAUGAAUUGAGAUGCUUAAAUAAAGAACCACUAUUCAAAUAUCAGGAAACUGCAUUUUUCAUACUAAAUUGGUAAAUGAUGUCACCAUUUCCUGUAUGUAUUUAAAUAAGAUGUUUCCACAAUUAAUAUUUUUAGGGACUAUUUCUCAACGUAAUGAAAUAGAUUAAAUUUGUACAGCGUUAUAUGAGCUUAAUAUGUGUUUUCUGUUUCCUUAAAAUUGAUGAAACAUUGUCAGAAGGUAAUGAGACCAGUAUCCAUUACUGCAAUCAUACAAUAAAAAAUACAGGGACAAGCCCACUGCUCAUAUAAUAUGAUUAAACCUUGUUUAGGGGCAUGAGGCAAACAGAGUUACUUUCAAAUGUUACAGAUGCACUCUCACACUUUGGAUGUUUUGACAACUGUUUUCAUUUUUAGCUCUACUGGCCAAAGGCCAGAAGAGCUUAUGCGAUGGUAAUGUGUACGUAGUAUGUGCGUCUGUAAACAAUCCUCGUUUACAUGAUACAGCCUACAGUUCCUUUCGAAAACCAGCCAGAUCCGCCCAUGUAUGCCUAGUUUAUGGGCCUUGAUAGUAUACAAAAAUCAGUGUGUCAGUAGGCAAUUGCUCGUUAACAUGAUACAGCCUUUUUGAUUGUAUCUCAAUGAAACUUGUACAGUAUCUACAUAUCCAUAUGAGCUCGGUUCCUUUCGAAAACCAGCCAGAUCCGCCCAUGCAUGCCAAGAUUAUGGGCCUUGAUAAUAAAAAAAAAUAGUGUGUCAGUAAACAAUUGCUCGGUAACACGAUACAGUCUUCAGUUUUGAUUGUAUCUUGAUGAAACUUGUCCAGUAUAUCCAUUAGAGCUCAGUUCCUUUCAAAAACCUGAUCUGCCCAUGUUUCCUGGAUUAUUGGCCUUGAAAUUAUUAGAUGAUGGGCCUUGAUAGUAUAAAAAAUGCUAUUUUGUAAUAAAUGCUUGCGAAUAUGAUACAGUCUUCAGUUUUGAGUAUUCAGAUACCCAUAAGGGGUUGGUUCUUUUCGAAAACAGUGAUGUUGACCACACAAACCCAGCCAGUAGAGCAUAGGCCCUUUUGGGCCUCUUGUUUGUUUUGGAUUGGUACCAUCCAGUCUUUGCGAAAAAUGCAUGGAAACCAGUAAUAUAAGACUACUGACAAAAAAUUCAAUUGCAGACUUUUUUAUUUAAGUUAAAACAUUGAUGUUUUAUGCACUUUUCUUAAAUAACAUUAAUCUUCGAAGGAAAUAUGAAAUCUGGGAUUUGAUGUUUUGUCAGCAAUCUUUUACCAUUGGUUUGCUGAUAUUUACGCAAAAAUUUGCUCAUUCCAAGACAAAACAAAAGUUGUUAAAACGGUAUAUCUGUGAGAAUGCAGCUCUAAAUGUUUUGGCAAACAUGUUUUUGAUUUGGCAGCACAAUCAAUCUUGAACAUUGCUUGAUUUUACUGCUGUAUUAGAAAUUACAGGGGUAAUGGGGGAUUUUUUUUAGUGUUUUUAUUGCUUUUUGUGAUUCAUACAGUCAUACUUCAUUCCCCAGGGCACAACUUACAAAUAGACAGAACAGGAAAAUGGUCAUUUCAAAAGGUCAAGGACAAUGCAAGUUAAACAAUCAUAUUGUUCAUGGCUUGUAUUUUUGGUAUAUUUUGUUGCAUAUAUGCUAUAAAAAAAGUUGAAAGUUAAAAAUAACUUCAUAGUUGAAAUGAUGGCUUUGAAUGGUUUUGUCAGUUGAGAAACAGCACUAUUAAGAAAUAUGUUAAUGGUACUUUAUUAUUUUAAUCAAUUUUAGAUAUUUGUAUGAAAAUUAUUAUCUUAUUUUGUACAUGAGACCUUUUAAACAGUUAUUUAUAAUUUAACAAUGUGUAAAUGAUCAAAACUUAAAGCUGCACUUUCACAGAUUGUCAUUUUAGACACUUUAAAAAAUUUGUCUCAAAAGCUGAUUUGGUUAUCAUUCCUUUAAUUCAGUCAUAUUAGAUAAUUCACAAUAGAACCAAUCAAAAAUGUUUGGUAAGACUGCCGAAAAGUUCAUUUACAUUAAAUUGUUCGUAAUGCUAAUAUACCCAUAAAACAUCAUUUUAGCCAUAAAUAUGACAAAAUGCAAUCUGAUCUUAUUUCAGCAGUCUUAUAUCACUUAAAAUUGGGUCUAUGCAAAAAAUGGUCUAUUUAUAGACCAACAAUAAAAGAGUGCCGGUAGUCAAAACGAUCAAUUAGUGAGAUUGCAGCUUUAAAUACACCUUUUUAAGUCCGCUGUAAAAUUCCAAUGGUUUGCCUCAAUCUUUAAAGCUAGCAUACUGUUUAAUUGACAGCCAUACUUUUUGUUUAAAAGUGUCAUGAUAUGUUUGUACAAUGUGUUUAUAUAAUUCAUUAAAGAAGUCAAAACAAAUUUGUUUAUCAUGUAAUUUGUUUUCUAUUAUUUAAAUGACCCAGACGA